CUUAGGGGAAACUGUGAAGUUCUCCUAUUCCCAACUGUCUCUUCUGCAGAUUCCAUCAUGGAGUUUGUCCUUACAUGGUUACAGAUGAAUCAGGCUUCACUGGAGAGUGAAUUACAAGAUAUAUAAUCGACUUACAGGACUGAAAAAAGGCCAAUAUAUUAAAACAGGAAACAAUACAUGGUGCACAAUGAGAAAAGAGAAAGUGACUGAAGAUUUUGGAAAAGUCUAACUUCAUCUGUCAUGCAAAAAUAGGUGGUCGUUCCUUCUGCUUCUACAUAACAGCAUGGGAUCCUAUAGUUGGAAUGAGGUAUCAGAAGAUCUAGUGGUUCGGUGUGCUUUUGUUAAAUGGCAAGUUUUUAGAGAGGACCAAAGGCCUGCCUGGAGGGUUUCAGAGGUAGAGGGAAGGAAAACUGGCAACUGUCUGGCAACUGGUGUCAGCCUACCUACAAAUAACCUGCUUACUGCUGAGAUUCAACUGUAUGGUAAUUGCAGCAUAACCAAUUCAUUCAAGUCUUGGAGAAGUGCUUUUGUCAUUUUUAAUCUAAAUAAAUCCCUUCAACUGUUAGGGGAAAAUGCAGUAUUGUUUUGGGGUGUGUAUUUUUUGAAAAUGUAUGCAUUUUUCUGAAUCUCCAGGUAGAUUGCUUAACCUCUGCAGUUCAGUAACAUAAGCAAACCUUUUUAACUGGCAGCAGCACUGCCCUGGAGGCGCAUCUUCUGCAGAACUAACACAGCUUCUGCCGGGUAUAACAGGACUCGCUCAGGCUUCAGCAGUCCCUCUUCUGGUGAGUGUGUGAACAGCUAUUCCACGAGUUCAGGUAGACAUUCCUUUAUUUUUAUCCCGAUACUCUUUGUUGGAUUGAUUGACUUCUGCUGCAAUGCAUGCAUUCUAUCUCCAAGCUUUAUGAGCGCCCUAACACAUUUAUCUCUGCAUUUUCUUCUUUAAAAGAAGGGUGUUGUGUUUUAUAAAAUCACAGAAGAAUGUUCUGCACAAACUUUUCUGAUUUGUAGUACUUAUUUCUGGGUGAGGAAGUGGAAGUGAGUUGAUAGUGGUUGCAGGCUACUCCAUUUACUAAAGCGCAUAUAAGUAUAUCCUGGUUUCAGUUAGGACAGGGUUAAUUUUCUUCCUAGUAGCUGGUAGAAUGCUAUGUUUUGGCUUAGGAUGAGAAGAGUGCUGAUAACACAGCCCAAAGUCAUUGCAACCUUUUUUGUUCUCUCUAUUUAGUCUUAUCACUAGGUAUUUUAACUAAUAAAGAUUGAAAAAGAAGGCUCUAGAGUUAAUAU
rnacentral:lncRNA from 1 species